rnacentral:rRNA from 1 species
CGGUGGAGCAUGUGGUUAAUUCGAAGCAACGCGAAGAACUUACCAGGCCUUGACAUGCAGAGAACUUUCCAGAGAUGGAUUGGUGCCUUCGGGAACUCUGACACAGGUGCUGCAUGGCUGUCGUCAGCUCGUGUCGUGAGAUGUUGGGUAAGUCCCGUAACGAGCGCAACCCUUGUCCUUAGUUACCAGCACGUUAUGGUGGGCACUCUAAGGAGACUGCCGGUGACAAACCGGAGGAAGGUGGGGGAUGACGUCAAGUCAUCAUGGCCCUUACGGCCUGGGCUACACACGUGCUACAAUGGUCGGUACAAAGGGUUGCCAAGCCGCGAGGUGGAGCUAAUCCCAUAAAACCGAUCGUAGUCCGGAUCGCAGUCUGCAACUCGACUGCGUGAAGUCGGAAUCGCUAGUAAUCGUGAAUCAGAAUGUCACGGUGAAUACGUUCCCGGGCCUU